CCGCGCCGGUUGACAACCGGCCGUGAUGGGGAUGUUGGACGCAGGUCAUUUUGCCGGUUUCUGCCUGCGACAGCAACGCAUUGGUACGCGUCGCCAUCUAACCCAUUGCCGGC
rnacentral:sRNA from 1 species